AGAUCUUAGUCUGAAAGUCUACAGAUCACUUUGCUAUUUUUCGAUUUUUCCGGUGUUAUACCAAAUUUCCUAGUUUUCUAAUUUUUCGCAAGUUUAUUUCUCAAUUACCUUUUGUUUCCACUUUCGAGUGUUGAAGAGUGUGUGGCUAUAAAUUUUUCCACGGCUUUUAUUCCGCCUGCAAUUGCCAGCGUCUGAGAGCCAUCUCCGUUGAGUUAAUUGCAGAGUGUGUGUGUUAUUGACAUUUAAAUUCUAUCAACUUUUUAGUGAUAGUGCAUCGUCGAUUGACAGGUUCAGGAUGUCCGACCCGUUGACGUUGAAAGAACUGGAGGAAGUCCGCUAUCGCAUGGACGUCGAUUCAUAUUUGGUAUUGAGCGAGAAAGCAAGAGAUAUACACUAUUUGAAGAGAGUCCAGUCCAAAUUGUACACAAAACUAGGAGUGAAACAGAACAAGUUCCAAAAACACUUCAGACAACAAGUGAACUUUUGAUCAAUCGAAGGAAUACUGUCUGUCAUCAAUGUGGCAUCAAUGAAGGCAUACUUAGAUAAAAUGUGUUUCAAAUUAAAAAUAUUGUUUUUACUAAUUGUAUCAUACAUUCUUACUUUAGGUAUCAUUUGAAAAGUUAUUUCAACAAAACAUUAUUAUGUAGCUCUGAAAAAUGUUAUAUUAUACUAACCUAGGUUAGAUUCUAUAUUUAGUUUUCUAAUUCUAUAUUUAGUUUUCCAAUAAUUCUAUAUUUAGUUUUCUAACGAUUCUGUAUUUAGUUUUUCAAUAAUUCCGUAUUUAGUCUUCUAAUGAUUCUAUAUUAAGUUUUCUCAUAAUUCUAUGUUUAGUUUUCUAAUAAUUCUAUAUUUAGUUUUCUAAUAAUUCUGUAUUUAGUUUUUUAAUGAUUCUAUGUUUAGUUUUUUAAUAAUUCCAUAUUCAGUCUUCUUAUUAUUCUAUAUUUAGUUUUCCAAUAAUUCUAUAUUUAGUUUUCUAAUAAUUCUAUAUUCAGUUUUCUAAUAAUUCUAUAUUUAGUUUUCUAAUAAUUCCAUAUUUAGUUUUCUAAUAAUUCUAUAUUUAGUUUUCUUAUUCUAUAUUUAGUUUUCCAAUUCUUUAUUUAGUUUUCUAAUAAUUCUUCAUUUAGUUUUCUAAUUCUAUGUUCAGUUUUCUGAAAAUUCUUUAUUUAGUUUUCUAAUAAUUCUAUAUUUCUUUUUUUAAUAAUUCUGUAUUUCGUUUUCUAAUAAUUCUAUAUUCAGUUUUCUAAUUCUAUAUUUAGUUUUCUAUUAAUUCUAUAUUCAGUUUUCUAAUAAUUCUAUAUUUAGUUUUCUAAUGGGUCUAUAUUUAGUUUCUUAAUGAUUUUUUAUUUAGUUUUCUAAUAAUUCUACAUUUAGUUUUCUAAUUCUAUGUUCAGUUUUCUGAAAAUUCUUUAUUUAGUUUUCUAAUAAUUCUAUAUUUCGUUCUCUAAUAAUUGUAUAUUUCCUUUUCUAAUAAUUGUACAUUUCCUUUUCUAAUAAUUGUACAUUUCAUUUUGAAUUAAUUGUUAAUUCAAUUUCCAUUUAAUAAUUGAUUUUUACUUUCGAUUUUUCUCAAUCUAUUUUGUUUCAAUUCUUUCUCAGUGUUAGAUUGAAAUUCUAUAUCAAUUUUAAAUAGAUAUAAUUAUUGAGGUCGGGUAAAUAAUACAAUACCCAAGACAGGAAGAUUGCAAAGGAUGAAAAGUGUAGCGAUAAGGAGUCGACAACGUUGAAAGACGUUCCAAACCGACUCUUAUAGGUUAGGUUAUAGGUUGGGAACAUUUCUUUAUUUUAUUAUAUUUUACGUAUAAUGCAAUUUGAAAUAUUAUGUCGGUAUACAAAUUUGAAGUAUUGCUCAGAAAUUUCAUCUUAAAGUCUAUUCACAUAUAAGACAAAUUUUUAUAGGUUGAAAGGGAAUUAAAUAAAACAAUUGUGUUGCUCUGAAAACAAAGAUUAUAAUAGUACAAUUACAUUGUUCACCUAACUAGCCAACCUACCUGAAAACAAAGAAACGACAAUUAAAGUUUCUAUUCCAAACAAUUCCCUUUCUAUAUGAAUUCGAAAUGAAAGAUGAAUGAUAUUGUUCAGUAGUUGCCUAGUAACAAUAAUUGUCAUAGGAUUAAGUAUUCAAUAUAACCCUGGCCUUGGCACCAUAGACUCUGUCUAUGGUAGUUAAAAAUUAGCACAAUCUAUGGGGUCAGAUUAGAAUUGAAGAAAUAUAAUUUCUUUACACACAUAAUAACAAAAAACGCAAUAUUAGUUUCCUACCUACGGCAAUUUUACAAGUGUGAUUUGAGUUUAUUUAACAACUUCUAUAUUCCAUCGAAUCAAAUAGGCACUAUAAAUUGUAAGAAAUAUUCUUGGAUAUCUUAAGAUAUUUUUUUAUUAACAUAUUUUUGUAUUUUAUGUUUUAGAAUAAAAAUUUGUGGACUACUCUUUUAAUUUGGGGUAUGUGUCGAUACUUUCAGUUUCAUACAAAUGUCUGUUAUUUUUCUAAUAUUC